rnacentral:misc_RNA from 1 species
GAUGAAGAACGCAGCAAAAUGCGAUAAGUAGUGUGAAUUGCAGAAUUCAGUGAAUCAUCGAAUCUUUGAACGCACAUUGCGCCCGCUGGUAUUCCGGCGGGCAUGCCUGUUCGAGCGUCAUUUCAACCCUCAAACCCCCGGGUUUGGUGUUGGGGAUCGGCUCUGCCUCACGGCGGUGCCGCCCCCGAAAUACAUUGGCGGUCUCGCUGCAGCCUCCAUUGCGUAGUAGCUAACACCUCGCAACUGGAACGCGGCGCGGCCAUGCCGUAAAACCCCAACUUCUGAAUGUUGACCUCGGAUCAGGUAGGAAUACCCGCUGAACUUAAGCAUAUCAAUAAGCGGAGGA